UACGGGGGGGCAAGCGUUGUUCGGAAUUACUGGGCGUAAAGGGCGCGUAGGCGGCCUUCUAAGUCGGACGUGAAAUCCCACGGCUCAACCGUGGAACUGCGUCUGAUACUGGAGGGCUUGAAUCCGGGAGAGGGAUGUGGAAUUCCAGGUGUAGCGGUGAAAUGCGUAGAUAUCUGGAGGAACACCGGUGGCGAAGGCGGCAUCCUGGACCGGCAUUGACGAUGAGGCGCGAAAGCCAGGGGAGCAAACGGG
rnacentral:rRNA from 1 species